GAUCAUGGCUCAGGAUGAACGCUGGCGGCGUGCCUAACACAUGCAAGUCGAACGAAGAGGCGGCAUCAGAAUCCUUCGGGAGGAAGAAGCCGUUUACUGAGUGGCGGACGGGUGAGUAACGCGUGGGCAACCUGCCCAGUACAGGGGGACAACAGUUGGAAACGACUGCUAAUACCGCAUAAGCCUGUAAUGCCGCAUGGCAUAUCAGGAAAAACUCCGGUGGUACUGGAUGGGCCCGCG
rnacentral:rRNA from 1 species